rnacentral:rRNA from 1 species
UUAAAUUGAAGAGUUUGAUCAUGGCUCAGAUUGAACGCUGGCGGCAGGCCUAACACAUGCAAGUCGAGCGGUAGCACAGAGAGCUUGCUCUCGGGUGACGAGCGGCGGACGGGUGAGUAAUGUCUGGGAAACUGCCUGAUGGAGGGGGAUAACUACU